UAACAACAAGUAUAAAGCCUACCACGGCAUUAAACAUGCCCAUGCAGGUGCCAAUAUAUGCAACACUGAGAACAAUACUCCCCUACAUUUGGCAGUACACUAUGGCAAUGUUGAAGUCGUUGAAGCACUCAUACAUGCCAAUGCAGAUGUAAAUAUACGAAACAAGAAGGGAUUGACACCAUAUGAUGUAGCGAAAACAGAACCAUUAUUGAACAGAUCAGAUAGAUACCAAAGGAUCCUGGAAUACUUAAAGGAUACGACGGAUACAUCAGCUAGAAACAGUCACCAAUCAAGAAUUACACACAACAAGGAAACGGC